rnacentral:misc_RNA from 1 species
AACACCUCAACCUCCUCUUGUUUUUUCAAAAGGAGGGUGGACUUGAGCUAUCCCAACAACCUUCACUGGUAGGUGGGUGGCUUGAAAUUCAGGUGCAGCUGGACUUUUAUCUGAGCUAAAAGCAUAUCUAUUUAGUCCUCAUCAAACAGGAAUAUUACUAUUGCUGCAGCUAACAUAAAGGAUAAUUGUCCUCAUUACUGACUGAUGCAGGAUUUUAUGACACUUUAUGUGUUGUUCA